ACGGGUAGCUCAGCUGGUGAGAGCAUCUGGUUUACACCCAGGAGGCCGUGGGUUCGAAUCCCUCCCCGUCC
rnacentral:tRNA from 1 species